UGGGGAAUAUUGCACAAUGGCGCAAGCCUGAUGCAGCCAUGCCGCGUGUAUGAAGAAGGCCUUCGGGUUGUAAAGUACUUUCAGCGGGGAGGAAGGGAGUAAAGUUAAUACCUUUGCUCAUUGACGUUACCCGCAGAAGAAGCACCGGCUAACUCCGUGCCAGCAGCCGCGGUAAUACGGAGGGUGCAAGCGUUAAUCGGAAUUACUGGGCGUAAAGCGCACGCAGGCGGUUUGUUAAGUCAGAUGUGAAAUCCCCGGGCUCAACCUGGGAACUGCAUCUGAUACUGGCAAGCUUGAGUCUCGUAGAGGGGGGUAGAAUUCCAGGUGUAGCGGUGAAAUGCGUAGAGAUCUGGAGGAAUACCGGUGGCGAAGGCGGCCCCCUGGACAAAGACUGACGCUCAGGUGCGAAAGCGUGGGGAGCAAACAGG
rnacentral:rRNA from 1 species